UGGGGAAUUUUGGACAAUGGGCGCAAGCCUGAUCCAGCCAUGCCGCGUGCGGGAAGAAGGCCUUCGGGUUGUAAACCGCUUUUGUCAGGGAAGAAAUCUUCUGAGUUAAUACCUCGGGAGGAUGACGGUACCUGAAGAAUAAGCACCGGCUAACUACGUGCCAGCAGCCGCGGUAAUACGUAGGGUGCAAGCGUUAAUCGGAAUUACUGGGCGUAAAGCGUGCGCAGGCGGUUUUGUAAGACAGAGGUGAAAUCCCCGGGCUCAACCUGGGAACUGCCUUUGUGACUGCAAGGCUUGAGUGCGGCAGAGGGGGGUGGAAUUCCGCGUGUAGCAGUGAAAUGCGUAGAUAUGCGGAGGAACACCGAUGGCGAAGGCAAUCCCCUGGGCCUGCACUGACGCUCAUGCACGAAAGCGUGGGGAGCAAACAGGAUUAGAUACCCUGGUAGUCCACGCCCUAAACGAUGUCAACUGGUUGUUGGGAAGGUUCCUUCUCAGUAACGUAGCUAACGCGUGAAGUUGACCGCCUGGGGAGUACGGCCGCAAGGUUG
rnacentral:rRNA from 1 species